AGCUCUUGAAUAAAAAAAUAAUGUAGAGGGAAGAGCAGAGGAAAAAAACCACGGAAAUUGGGGACUGAGGAAAAAUGCAAUCUUCAUUGUACUGUAAAUUUGAUGAUCAAUGGCUUUGAAAGUGAAUCGUUUGUCUAUGGGAUGUAAUUCAAAGAGUAAAAUAUCUUUGUUACAGCUGGGGGAUUGCAGACAAACUAAUUGGCCUGACCAGGAUAAAAGAAAAAGACCACUUUGGAGAAACUGCUAUAAUUCUGAGAAGGAAAAGGCCCACCGUUCAGAAGUGGACAGGAGAAAAAGUGCUGCAAACUUGAUCUUUCUGAAACUCCUGACAGAUGAGGUUGUUGCUGUUUUGGGUGAAGGUACUUCUGGAGUAGUGGAAUGCAUCAAUCACAAAGCUCACUGUGCCCAGAUGUUGGAAUGGUUUGAGCACCACGGACACCAUAUGCAUUGUUUCUGAGCUCGUGGGACUCAGCACCUUUGACUUGCAUUGAAGAGAAUGCUCUCUGCCAUUUAAGCUGGGUCACAUUAGACAGAUGGCAUAUCAGACCUGCAGAUCUGUGAACUGUAAGGAUGCUUCCUUUUUGCUUUAUUUGUUAUGUGAAUAAAAACGUCUCUUGAUUUCCUUUCA
rnacentral:lncRNA from 1 species